rnacentral:rRNA from 1 species
CCUACGGGUGGCAGCAGUAGGGAAUUUUCGUCAAUGGGCGCAAGCCUGAUCGAGCAAUGCCGCGUGAACGAGGAAGGUCUUCGGAUCGUAAAGUUCUGUUGAAGGGGAAAAAGAGCGGAGAGAGGAAAUGGUCUCCGAUUGAUAUUACCCUUCGAGGAAGUCACGGCUAACUACGUGCCAGCAGCCGCGGUAAUACGUAGGUGGCGAGCGUUAUCCGGAAUGAUUGGGCGUAAAGGGUGCGUAGGCGGCCUGCUAAGUCUGGAGUGAAAGGUACCGGCUCAACCGGUACAGGCUCUGGAAACUGGCGAGCUAGAGAGCAGGAGAGGGCGGUGGAACUCCAUGUGUAGCGGUAAAAUGCGUAGAUAUAUGGAGGAACACCAGUGGCGAAGGCGGCCGCCUGGCCUGUUACUGACGCUGAGGCACGAAAGCGUGGGGAGCAAAUAGGAUUAGAUACCCGUGUAGUC